CUUUGGAAAGCCACAGUGUGGGGAGGCACCCACAGAGUAGCAACUGGGCAGAGCAAUGUGGAAGUCGCUGUUGGCUGGGAAGCUCGGGACAGAAGUCUGGAGUCAGGAGCGGCAACAUUUCAGGACUUCUUGGGUGGAAGAAAGUUGGCAGAGAGAAAGUCCACGACACAUCUCAUUUCUCAUCCUCAAGGCCUGGAUUCUGCUCCAGCCGCCUGGAAGACACCCCUCCAGCCAUCAUGUUGACUCACACUCUGUCGUCUUCAGUAUCUCUCACAGUGCAAUAAUCAAGAUUUCAGCCAGAGUUGGAAUAUCAUCCAAAGGCUGGAUGUGCAAUGGACCUUCUUCCAAACUCACAUGGUGAUUGCAGAAUUGAAUUCUUCCAGGGAGUUUGGGUUAAAUGCCCUGACCUUUCUUAAUUCCUUGAGUGUGGACCUCUCCAACAUGACAGCUUGCUUCAUCAAAUUAUGUAAGCCAACAAGGCAAUAUAGAGUCUACCAGUAAGAUGUAAAAUACAGUUUUGUGUAACCUAAGACUCAGUAGUGACAUAUCAUUUGUUUUCCCUCCUACUAAUUAGAAACAAGACACAAGUCGCACCUACCGGCAGCACCUAAUACGAAGAUGUGAAUACAAAGAAGUUGGGA
rnacentral:lncRNA from 1 species